rnacentral:lncRNA from 1 species
UUUAAAUAAAAAAUAAAAAUAAUCUAUGAUCAUUUUCUAAAUUCCAGGAUGAAAUUCCGAUUUCAGUAUUCGCAUCCCAACAGUCUGUUCCUUUUACGACUGUUGAUGGACUGAAAGCAGAAAGGAACACUUUUGCUUUGAUAUACUCCGCUGGAGGGAAUACAGAAUCUCACAACUAAAUUAGCUGCAACAAUGGGCUUACCAUAUGUUUCCUUCUUCCCAAACGAUAUUGCAGAUCAUUCCCACAACAACCAGUUUGUAGAAAGAGGGCAUGUUAAUUACCCGAACGAGACCACCUCGGUAUCCCUAGAC